rnacentral:rRNA from 1 species
AAUAGUUUUAUUACUUAUUAUAUUUUUAGGUAAUAAAUUUAAAUAAUUUAAUUUAUAUUUUAAUUAUAUUAUUUAUAUUUAUAUAAUCAUAUAUUAUUAUAUAUAAUUUAAAUUUAUAUGUAUUUUUUAGGUAUAAGAAUAAGUUAAUUUUUUUAAAAUGUAUUGUAAUUUUGUUAUAUGAAUAUGUAUUAUAAAUUAUUUUAUAGGAAUUAGAUAUAAUUAGUGUUUUAGGUAAAUGUUUUUUAUAAGUUUUACAAUUAAUGAGAGAAAUAGAGUGCCAGCCCUCGCGGUUAUACUUUAUCUUAUUUUUUAUUUAUAAUAAAGGUAUAUUUUGGUUUUAUAAAUAUUUGUUUGGAAAUAAAAUUAGGUAAAAUAUUUUUUUAUUUUUUUUUAAUAUUAUUAAUUUUAGUUUAAAGACAAGGAUUUGAUACCCUUUUAUUCUAAAAUUAUUUAAUCUUAAAUUAUUAUAUUUAUGAAAAAUUUUUAUAAUUUUGACGGCUGAAUAUCUAAUUAGAGGGACUUGAAAAUAUAAUUGAUAAUUCACGUUUAUAAAUUCUUAUUAUAUAAUUUAUUUGAAUAUCAUUGUUUAAUAAAUUUGAUUACAAGUUUUUGAGGUUUAUAAAAGAAUUAUUAUAUAAAACAAAUUAGAUUCAGAGUUUGUUAAGUUUUUUUGUGUUACUAUGGUUAAGAAUAAGGAUUUAAUAGUAAUUUUUUGUUAUUUUAAAAAGUUGAAUUAAGAUAUAUUCAGUGUACAUACUGCCCGUCAAUUCUUUUAUGAAUAAGUCGUAACAUGGUUAAUAUUUUGGAAAAAGUAUUAUUAUAAUUAUUUGUAUUAUUAUAAUAUAAUUAGAUAUUAUAUUGUUAUUUAUUUUAAUUCAGAUAGUU